GGGGACAGGGGUACGUCCUGUCAUUUUAACGUUGAAAAAAUUCGCACUGUUCGCAGCCCUGUCUUCGAAUCGAUUGACUUUUCUCCAGAUUCUAAUCUCUGUUAAAUAUAAAACGACGUUGGAAAAGUUCGCAGCCUUGUCUUCGAAUCAAUUGUGACUUUUUCUCCACUCUUCUAAUCUCUGCUGAAUAUAAAACGACAAGAAAGGACACGAAAGGGUCGUUCAUCGUUGGAUUUCUUUACUAAGAAUGCGACGAAUACGAGAUAGUUGAUUCCAAAUGAGUGCUGUUGCGACUUAUUGAAUUGAUAGAUGCUGUCACAAACUAAACAAUGAAAAGAGAAGAGAGGUGAAAAACAGACUUGACAAUUUUGUGAAGAGAAGAAGAAGGAGGAAGAGGAGGAGGAGGAGGCUCAGGAAAAGCAAUGGAUCAACUUUGCGAAUAAUGUAACCACAUAGCUGAUAACUCCACUACUGUGCAUCAAUUAGUCUUUCUUCUUUUGUUGGUACACGCAGCCACCUCGGCCGCGAUCAAGCCAUUAGCUAGUUAGUGAAGGUGCAAUAAAAUAUAAUGGAGACUUUGCACGGUUCUGUAUUGAGAGGGCAUCAGUCGGUGAGUGACAAAAAUUUUA